CCAUCACCAUCACCAUCACCAUCACCAUCACCGUCGCGCAACCGUCCACCGAGAUCGUAACUGGUGAUCGUUAGCUGAACUUCAACUGACUUCAGAACCGAAAUUCGCUGCACAGCCUGGAUGAAGAAUCGAAAAGGAAUGAUGAGGUUACCAAAAGGUUUGGCCGUUCAGCUAGAAGUGAGUUCAAGGGAUGCCGAUUCCGAGUAGAGACGGAGCGCCGCUGCGCUUUGCCUGAGGUGAACUCUAUCUUCAUUUUCCGGAUUCGUAUUUCGAUCGGUUAUCCUUUAGUUUCAAAUACGACGUACGCUAUGUGUAUAUGAGUUUGAUAACUGAUAAUAUGCCUGCCACAUGUUCGAGUUAUUGUUUCUUUGGUCCGUUAUUUUUACCUCAUUGUUCAUGAUCGUCACGAUGUCAGAUCUAUAAAAAAUACUUUGCUAGUUGCA